UAAGGGGAUACACAGUUUAUAAUUGCUGCUAUAUAAUACGGAUAUUAGCUUAAUGCAAAGUUCCGGAAUAACCAUAUUUCAAAGGAUACUGUUGAGAGAGAUACAAAAAAAUUCACCAGAAUGAAGCUGUAGCUGAACCAGAGCUAUGCACACAAAUACUGAAGGAAGAGAUAAUUUUCUACCAAGAAUUGAAAGAGAAAUUGUUCUUAUAUAAUAAUGGGGGUAUAACCAUUAGUAAUUAUUUACCAGAAUGAAG